rfam:Gossypium raimondii chromosome 2, whole genome shotgun sequence.
AUGCCAUGAUGAGGGCACUUUCAUAUUAACACCUUGAACCAUUCCCAUGCCUCAUAUAAAUAUUCUUCAUCAAGUUGCUGAAAUGAAAUGAUUUCAUUUCGGACCUU